CUAAUCUUCAACCUCUGCUGUGUACGUGAAGAGACUCGCGCCUUGAUUCCAAGCCAUUAAGGCUCCCAUUCACUGCACAGUUUCUUUCUAUUUAUUCUCCACGAACUCCUCUCGUUUCCCCUCUCCUUCUCCUCCCAAUCGUGCCCCAAGGCUCACAAAUUUCCUCGUCGGAGUACGAAGGAUUCCGCCGCCGUUCGAGAUAUUUUUAGCCUCCGCGCCAUAACGUCGAGGACGAGCUCGACUGUGAGGUCACCGUCUCCGCGACCAACUCCUGUCGAAGCUCGCCGCUGUUCCAGGAAGAGGAGAUCGAAGUCGUGGACACCAUUAGAAUCUCCGCAUCGUGCUGGACAUCGUCAACCCCCUCGUCGUCUCCCGGGAGCCACCGGAGCGCUCUCACCGUCGACGGACGCGCGCAGCAACUCCAUCCACAUCCACGAACUCUGCAUCGUCGAUCAUACGGAGAGCUGCGUGUUUUGAAUUGAGAGAAGUGAAUGCUCUUCGACAACCAAAAAGG